rnacentral:rRNA from 1 species
CGGUGGAUCUCUUGGCUCGUGCAUCGAUGAAGAACGCAGCAAGCUGCGAUACCUAGUGUGAAUUGCAGAAUUCAGUGAAUCAUCGAGUCUUUGAACGCAAAUGGCGCUCCCGGGGUCUCCUCGGGAGCAGGU